rnacentral:rRNA from 1 species
UACAGAGGUCUCAAGCGUUGUUCGGAAUCACUGGGCGUAAAGGGCGCGUAGGCGGGGAGGUAAGUCGGGUGUGAAAUCCCUCGGCCCAACCGAGGAACUGCGCCCGAGACUGCUUCUCUUGAGUCCCGGAGAGGAAGAUGGAAUUCCCGGUGUAGCGGUGAAAUGUGUAGAGAUCGGGAGGAACACCGGUGGCGAAGGCGGGUCUCUGGGCAUGUCCUGACGCUGAGGAGCGAAAGUGUGGGGAGCGAACAGG